CUUUGCUUUUGUGGUAGGAAUACCUCAGCAAAGAGGCAGAGGGUACGACACGGUGAGGGGAGCAGAACAGGGGCCAAUCAUCCAAUUUACCACAGCAGUUAAGGAGUUUAACAGCAGAAAGUUUCCAUUCUGGUUGAGAAGAAUAAAUAGAAUCCAUGUACUCGACUCAAGCAGAUGACUUCUGUGAUUUGGUACUGAAGAUUUGUCAAACUCCGGGAAAUUUGCCACCAGUUGCACAAAUAGAAGACACAUUCACACUUUUCCCCAACAAGACAAGCCCCCUUGCUCAUCGUAUCCACUUCACACCCAGGGUCCCAUGGAUCUACAGCUCCCGCCUUGAGGAAUGAGUAUGACUCUACAUGAUCUGAUCAUCUUUGAACUAAAUAGCAGCAACACUCCUCACAUGCGGGAGUGCAAAGGAAAUGUUUGGCAUUGCAUAUACAACAGAAACAUGUAAUUUUUUCAAUCCUCUUUUCUGUGACUAGUAAAGAAGCAAUAAUUAAUAUUUA